GACGAACGCUGGCGGCGUGCUUAACACAUGCAAGUCGAACGGUAAGGCCCUUCGGGGUACACGAGUGGCGAACGGGUGAGUAACACGUGGGUGAUCUGCCCUGCACUUCGGGAUAAGCCUGGGAAACUGGGUCUAAUACCGGAUAGGACUCCGGACUGCAUGGUCUGGGGUGGAAAGCUUUUGCGGUGUGGGAUGGGCCCGCGGCCUAUCAGCUUGUUGGUGGGGUGAUGGCCUACCAAGGCGACGACGGGUAGCCGGCCUGAGAGGGUGACCGGCCACACUGGGACUGAGAUCCGGCCCAGACUCCUACGGGAGGCAGCAGUGGGGAAUAUUGCACAUUGGGCGCAAGCCUGAUGCAGCGACGCCGCGUGAGGGAUGACGGCCUUCGGGUUGUAAACCUCUUUCAGCAUCGACGAAGCGAAAGUGACGGUAGGUGCAGAAGAAGGACCGGCCAACUACGUGCCAGCAGCCGCCGUAAGAC
rnacentral:rRNA from 1 species